rfam:Drosophila willistoni strain TSC#14030-0811.24 scf2_1100000004943 genomic scaffold, whole genome shotgun sequence.
AUCAUUUCUGACGGAUUGAUUGUAGGAACACUGGUGUAUCGACUUCUCUGCUCCACUAAGAGUCUCUCACG